GUCUAUAUGAAGGUGCAUAUAGUUUGGCCUGCUCACUGAUUAUAUUAAAGAGCCGCAGUAUUUUGACUGUGCGAAGGUAGCAUAAUAAAUUGUCUUUUAAAUGGAGGCUUGAAUGAAAGGUUGGACAAAGUAUCAUCUGUUUCUUAAAUAUUUAUUGAAUUUGACUUUCAAGUGAAAAGGCUUGAAUAAAUUAAAAAGACGAUAAGACCCUAUAAAUCUUUACAAUAAACAUAUUUUAUAUUUUUAUUUAUUAAGUGAAUGAGAUAUUAAAUUUGUAGUUGUUUCGCUGGGGCGGCGUAGAUAUAUAAAUGAACUGUCUAUAAUUUUAAAUACAAUAAUUAUUGAUUAAUGAAAUUGAUCCUUAAAUAGAUUAAAAGAUUAAGAUACUUUAGGGAUAACAGCGUUAUUUUUUCUGAGAGUUCUUAUCGAAGAAAAAGUUUGCGACCUCGAUGUUGAAUUAAAGUAUCUUUAUGGUGCAGUCGCUAUAAGAGAGAGUCUGUUCGACUUUUAAUACUUUACAUGAUUUGAGUUCAGACCGGCGUGAG
rnacentral:rRNA from 1 species